GCCGGCAGCCAUAUCACCCUGCAGCCCAAGCCUGGUCACCCACUGAAACUAAGCAGGGCUGAGCCUGGUCAGUACCUGGAUGGGAGACCUCCUGGGAAAACUAGGUUGCUGCUGGAA
rnacentral:rRNA from 1 species